UUGUGUUAGGGAUAGCAGUGAAAAGCCCACAGCGUUAGCGAGGACUUGUAGCGUAUAGCCCGACUUUGA
rnacentral:misc_RNA from 1 species